AUUGAACGCUGGCGGCAUGCCUUACACAUGCAAGUCGAACGGUAACGCGGGGCAACCUGGCGACGAGUGGCGAACGGGUGAGUAAUGCAUCGGAACGUGCCCAGUAGUGGGGGAUAGCCCGGCGAAAGCCGGAUUAAUACCGCAUACGACCUACGGGUGAAAGCGGGGGGACUCGCAAGAGCCUCGCGCUAUUGGAGCGGCCGAUGUCAGAUUAGGUAGUUGGUGGGGUAAAAGCCUACCAAGCCGACGAUCUGUAGCUGGUCUGAGAGGACGACCAGCCACACUGGGACUGAGACACGGCCCAGACUCCUACGGGAGGCAGCAGUGGGGAAUUUUGGACAAUGGGCGCAAGCCUGAUCCAGCCAUGCCGCGUGCGGGAAGAAGGCCUUCGGGUCGUAAAACUCUUUUCAAGGGGAAGAGGAAGGACGGUACCCUUGGAAUAAGCAUCGGCUAACUACGUG
rnacentral:rRNA from 1 species